rnacentral:rRNA from 1 species
CGGCGGACGGGUGAGUAAUGCCUAGGAAUCUGCCUGGUAGUGGGGGACAACGUUUCGAAAGGAACGCUAAUACCGCAUACGUCCUACGGGAUAAAGCAGGGGACCUUCGGGCCUUGCGCUAUCAGAUGAGCCUAGGUCGGAUUAGCUAGUUGGUGAGGUAAUGGCUCACCAAGGCGACGAUCCGUAACUGGUCUGAGAGGAUGAUCAGUCACACUGGAACUGAGACACGGUCCAGACUCCUACGGGAGGCAGCAGUA